rnacentral:misc_RNA from 1 species
UGAGAGAAGCUGAAGUUUAAGUUGAAAUCAUUCCUUUGGUCUCAGCUAUUGAAUCUAUGUGGCUAGCUUCUCAUAAGGAACAGGUACCCUUUGCUUGCCGUCGCCUGCAACCAUAUCUUCCCAAAGCAGAUCAGAGAGUGCCAUUGUUAACUCUCCUACCUUUCCAUCUCCCAUGGAUUGCUCAUCCCACAUAACAAUUGGCAAGAGAGGAAGCGUGCUUCCAACAUACAUCAUUUCAGCUGCCCUUUUGGCCUCUUGAACAGUAAGAUCAGCAAUUUUAACACUUUUUAAUUGCCCUUGCUCGACCAAUUUAGGUGCUAGUUGAAGAAGCCUUAAUGCAGUGCAACCACUAAGGAUCUUGUCAAAUGAAGGUAAGAUAAGCUCCUUAUCUUGGGUUAUGAAAGCCACAUUCACAUUUGGACCCUCAGCGAUAUAGCCUUCGUUAUCAACCCAGAUAGAAGCAAAUGCCCCCUUCUCUUCGGCUUCCAUUACUGAGAG